UUUAGGUUUCAAUUAUCACCAAUUUAGAAUCUGGAGGAUUAUCAUUAAUUUUACUGUCUUAAGAAAAACAAAGUAUAACUUUACUAUGCAAAACUAAUAUAUAGAAUGGUUGUGCCAUUAGUGCUAUUAAUGCUAUAAUAGAAAUGAAAAGUCCAUGUGAUUUAUUUAGCUCCCUGUAAAAGGUUUUGGGAUAUUUUUUGGGGAGAAUUUUUAAGUACUUUGUGAAAUAUCAGUUUGUUGACAAACAAUUUGAUGUAUAGGUUGUCUCAAUUUUUUUUUCUCUAUGUUAAUUUUAUACAAUUUAAUAUAUCUGAAUAUACUCAAAGCAUAUGUAUAUAUUUAUAUCGUACCAUAGUUAUACUAAUACUCCGAAACAGUGCUAGCUUAUUGCAUAGUUGAAAAGUUAAAAUUCAUGACCAUCGAGUAGAAUUUAAAAUUUUGAAUGAUGGUGAUAUUUUUAAUAUGAAUGGUAUUUGGACAUGCUCAGAGGUCUCUAGUUUAUUGUGCUAUCUACAGUUUUGCUCUAUUUAAAGAGCUAUUUAUUAUUAAUAAUUAUUUUUAACCUUUUAGAAUGCUAUAUGUAUACAGAUCAACAGAUGCAUUUGAAUCCCAAAAUAAGGGAUAAUACAAUGUAUGUAUAUUGGCUAAUUCCUCUGAGCAAUCACUUAUUCUACUAAUGACUAAAUAAAAAUGUGAUAAAUUGUAAAUAAAAAAAUAACAGACAAGAAAGUCUCUUUGUUCAAUAAAAUAUUCCCUCAAAUUAAAGUGUGUCAACUCUCCAUGACAUCAUUUUCUUAGAUCUGUUUUUUUGUUCUUGUUCUGAAUAUGUUUUUUCUAUUGAAUGUUGAGCAAACAACAAUCAAUGUAAUAAAUCUUGAAACUAAAUAAGUUCCAAAAUAUGGUACAAAAUGACAAUUUUCUCUGCAAUUUCUAGUUGAUAUUUUGUUUGUAUUCUGGUUGAUUUCAACAAAUGUACAUUUUUUUUUUCUGAAAUCAGAGGCGAUUAAGAGGGCAGGGCCCAUUCUCCUUAUGGAACUACAUAUAUGGUUAAUGCAUGUAUAUUUCUUUCAAAUUCCACUCCUAAAUUUGCUUUGGUGCAACCCCUACCACCCCCUCUUCAGAAUCUUUUUAUCCACUUAUGGAAAUGUUAUGAAGAUUGCUUUGAAGCUUCACAGCUAUGUUUGAAGAAUAUAUGUUAUUGUUAAAGUAUUGUAAUAUUUUUAUCAAUUUAUUUUAAAAAAAGUUUCAAUUCAUGACAGAUCUUUGUGAUAUGAGCGUCAAUCUCUUUUAAAGAGUACUGUUAAAUGUCUACAUAAGUUAUCAGUUACAAAAAAAUUUUCUGGAGGUUAUGAAAUGUGAACAAUAUAUUUACACAUUAGAAGAGAAGCUGGUCACUAAUAAUAUUAACCUAUACCGGAUAUUGUUAUUAAACUUAAUUGCUAUUGAAUGGACACAUUUGGUAUUGCAUGAAGUGUAUUUUUUUUUUGAAUUAUGACCAGUUUCAAAAACUACAUUUUUCUUAAUUACAGUGCAAGAAAUAUAAUGUUUAUACAAUACUCUUACAUACAUUUUUCUGGUAUAUAAUGAAGCAUUGCUAUUGACAGUUGCUCUAUAAAUGUGUUAACUUUUGUGGGUAUUCUUUUUUUCUAACAUGCACCUUUUCUCAAUAUUCAGAACAAGAAGUUUAAUUAAGGACUGAACUUGUAAACAAGAAAAAUUGAAGUUAUCUUUUUAACAUUCUGAGUAAAAGACCAUUUGACCCUGGUGCUCUUUUUAAUUCCUGAUAUAUUUUCCAGUUAAACCUCUUUAAAUUUAUGUUACAUAUAGGUUCUUAUGUUCUGUUAGUUUUAUAUAUAUAUAUAUAUUUUUCUCAUUUAUAAAAUCUCAAUGUGUUGAAAUAUUCCAACACUGUCAUGAUGUUUUGUUAGCAUCGCAAUUUUCUUUGUAGUGUAUGAAGCCAAUCACUUAUCAACUAGAAACAGUCUGGUACCAAUUUGUUCUGAAAUCUGAUUAAUGACAGCAUUGAACUUUUAAUAUUUUAAGGACAUGUAAAUUUGUAUAUUGGUCCCAGUAUUUAGGAGUAAAAAUCUUUUUCCAUAACACCAUGAUUUUUAUCAUUUGAUGUUGGUUAUGUAACAAAAAGGUGACAAUGUUGGUAUAUUAUAAACACAAAGCGAUUAUAUUUAGCGGUUGGUAGUAUCCUAACCAAUUAAACUUCUUCCAAAGUAUUCAUUAGUUAUUUAUUUAGUUAAUUAACCCUUUUGUUUUAGAAGCC
rnacentral:lncRNA from 1 species